AGAGGCAAGCUCAGAUUCUUAAUGCACGUGGUUACUUCUUGGAAGUAAAACACAGUGAACUGUAAUGCUGAUGAUUAAAUCGCAAGAGCUGUCAGCUGGGAGUCACAAGCUGUGCUUGAUGCUCUGCAGAGAUGCUCUGAAGCACUUGCCUGAAGGAACACCAAUGUUGCAGCCAGGCAUGGGCCAAAGCACAAGAAGCAGCGGAGUCAUCAGACCACGGCCUUCCCAGCUGCAAGCAGCGCUCCCUGCACACCCCUGGCACGUCCUCAGCAGGAUGCUGGCACUGCUGUGCUGCCUGAAGAUGGAGUGGCGUCACAAGAAGGUGGGAGUAACAGAGAAGACCUCCCCAUCUGCCACAGGCAGUCCAGAUGGCAGCCAUAUGAUUUCCUCCCCACCGUUUCUGCAGCCUUGGAACUGGAAGGGCAGCCCUGUCUGAAACCUGGCAAGAGCAUCGACUCACUUCCAAUCCCCAUCCUGUUCUCCCUCCCUCCCGAGCAACUUACUUGAUGGGGCCAAUUUACACACGGCGGUUUUACAGUGUGAACUGGGAUGCCCCAGGGACUGAUUUGAGACUCAGAAAUCCAUUUCAGAGUCUUUGUGCUGAGGAGACAGUGGGGCAGAUUCAAUAUUCAGCCGUGCUCAUCUAAAUCCAGAGGUGCUUCGGGGAAACAAAACCCUCCAGAUUUACCUUGGUGCGGGAGAGAAAAAUAAAGGCAUCUGCCUGGACUCAUAGCCACUGUACAUCAGUGAAAAAUACCCUGCAUACAAAGUUCACAGUACUUUUUAGCUACAGAUAUAUGCCAAGAGUGCCACUAUAUAUGCAAAUAUUGCAGAAAGCAGGAGGAAAGCAAACAAUAAACAGAUCUUUUACUGUUAAGCUACCUUUCCCUUCCUUCUCAAAAAUGUGAGAGAUUUAGAAAGAACCAAAAGCUGAACUGAAUUUUGUUCUUGUCAUUUCUAUGAUGAAGUUAUGCCAAAAGUAUUUUUCUAAAUAACUACUUGCUAUGGAUUGCAUGGUUGAAUGACCCCUGUCUAAGCCAAAUUAGUUUUUAAAUUUACUAGGGGUAAAGCGGAAACCCAGCUGAGGAACCACAGACAAUGCAAAAUGAAGAAUCUGACUGAAAGAAAAGACUUUUAUUAAAGUUGUGGAACCCAUUUUAGUCUUAGUUAUAUGGAGAUAGUGAAAAUGUGUAUUGAGAAGAGAAGACCUUUCCCAGUAGACUUUUACCAGAAGCAUUUGACAGGGAAGUCCUUAAGCACUGUGCCAUUUGAGGUUGAAACAGCUGAGAGAGGGGAAGAAUGAGGAGUAGAAUUCCUUCGCUUCUGUCACUUUCUAAGAGGCAAUUAAUUUUAUUUAAACCAUGACAAUUAAUUUUAUUUAAACUCUGAUUUCUUUUUACUAUAUAGGAAUAUGAAACAAUGUCCUGAAAUUAAUAAUAAAUGAAAAAAAUGGUGGAAAU